AUGACCUUCAUCUCCAUCUUCAUCUGCACACUGGCUCUCUGCACUCAAGGAUCCAGAGGUCAGGUGACUGUGACUCAGAGUCCUGCAGUAAAACAUGUUGAUCCAGGAGCUUCAGUCACCAUCAACUGUAAAACCAGUUCUGCUGUUCAUGGUGGUAAUCAUUUAGCAUGGUAUCAGCAGAAACCUGGAGAAGCUCCUAAACUCCUGAUCUACUACACUAGCAACAGAGCAUCAGGUAUUCCAGAUCAUUUCAGUGGCAGUGGAUCUGGAUCUGACUUCACUCUGACCAUCAGUAGAAUUGAGACUGGAGAUGCAGGAGAUUAUUACUGUCAGAGUGCACAUUAUAUCAGUGGUUCAGUAUUCACCUUAGGGAUAGACUCAAAAUUGACUAGCUUGAGCACAAUAACUUUUAACAUUAAGCACAUUGAACAUCGGCCCCUUGUAUUUGAAGAAUAA